rnacentral:rRNA from 1 species
CCAGACUCCUACGGGAGGCAGCAGUGGGGAAUAUUGCACAAUGGGGGAAACCCUGAUGCAGCGACGCCGCGUGAGCGAGGAAGUAUUUCGGUAUGUAAAGCUCUAUCAGCAGGGAAGAAAGCAAUGACGGUACCUGACCAAGAAGCCCCGGCUAACUACGUGCCAGCAGCCGCGGUAAUACGUAGGGGGCAAGCGUUAUCCGGAAUUACUGGGUGUAAAGGGAGCGUAGACGGCUGUGCAAGUCUGGAGUGAAAGGCGGGGGCCCAACCCCCGGACUGCUCUGGAAACUGUAUGGCUGGAGUGCAGGAGAGGUAAGCGGAAUUCCUAGUGUAGCGGUGAAAUGCGUAGAUAUUAGGAGGAACACCAGUGGCGAAGGCGGCUUACUGGACUGUAACUGACGUUGAGGCUCGAAAGCGUGGGGAGCAAACAGGAUUAGAUACCCGGGUA